rnacentral:rRNA from 1 species
UGCCAGCCGCCGCGGUAAUAUGGACGGUGCAAGCGUUACUCGGAUUUACUAGGCGUAAAGGGGGCGUAGGCGGUUUGGCAAGUCUGAUGUGAAAGCCCACGACUUAAUCGUGGAAGUGCAUUGGAUACUGCCAGGCUAGAGUACAGGAGGGGUGAGCGGAAUUCCAGGUGUAGAGGUGAAAUUCGUAGAUAUCUGGAGGAACAACGGAGGCGAAGGCGGCUCACUGGACUGUUACUGACGCUGAUGCGCGAAAGCGUGGGGAGCAAACGGGAUUAGAUA